rnacentral:rRNA from 1 species
GGUGAACGCUGGCGGCGUGCUUAAGACAUGCAAGUCGAACGGCAGUCUUCGGACUGUAGUGGCGCACGGGUGAGUAACGCGUAACUGACCUACCCCAAAGUCGCGGAUAACGAUUCGAAAGAAUCGCUAAUACGUGAUGUGCUGUCAGAUCCUGUUCUGCCAGUAAAGAUUGAUUGCUUUGGGAUGGGGUUGCGUUCCAUCAGCUAGUUGGUGGGGUAAAGGCCCACCAAGGCGACGACGGAUAGCCGGCCUGAGAGGGUGGCCGGCCACAGGGGCACUGAGACACGGGUCCAACUCCUACGGGAGGCAGCAGUUAGGAAUCUUCCACAAUGGGCGAAAGCCUGAUGGAGCGACGCCGCGUGAGGGAUGAAGGUCUUCGGAUCGUAAACCUCUGAAUCAGGGACGAAAGACACUUCGGUGGGAUGACGGUACCUGAGUAAUAGCACCGGCUAACUCCGUGCCAGCAGCCGCCGUAAGAC